rnacentral:rRNA from 1 species
ACUACGGGAGGCUGCAGUGAGGAAUAUUGGUCAAUGGGCGGAAGCCUGAACCAGCCAAGUAGCGUGCAGGAUGACGGCCCUACGGGUUGUAAACUGCUUUUAUACGGGAAUAACGCGCCUUACGUGUAGGGCUUUGCAUGUACCGUAUGAAUAAGGACCGGCUAAUUCCGUGCCAGCAGCCGCGGUAAUACGGAAGGUCCGGGCGGUAUCCGGAUUUAUUGGGGUUAAAGGGAGCGUAGGAGGACUGACAAGCGUGCUGUGAAAUGUGCGGGCUCAACCCGGGCCUUGCAGCGCGAACUGGCGUGCUUGAGUCCGCGGAAAGCAGGCGGAAUUCGUCGUGUAGCGGUGAAAUGCUUAGAUAUGACGAAGAACCCCGAUUGCGAAGGCAGCUUGCUGCAGCGGAACUGACGCUGAUGCUCGAAAGCGCGGGUACCGAACAGGAUUAGAUACCCGUGUAGUC